rnacentral:rRNA from 1 species
AUGAAGGGGUGGGGGGCUAAUCUGGGACGCGACCUUCGUGAGCGUAAGAAGUCGUUGUUAUCAGCGAUCCAGGCCCUUGACCUGCGCGCUGAUUCUGUGGGGCUUUCUCCGGAUGAGUGGUUGUCCUGGUAUGACCUGGAAGACCAGCUCUCUGUGAUCUAUACCGAUGAGGAGGCCUAUUGGCGCCUCCGGGGGGCUCAGAAGUGGGUCUUAAAGGGCGACGCGAAUACGGCAUACUUCCAGGCCAUUGCCAAUGGCCGCCGUAGGCGCAAUACCAUCCCCCUCUUGUGGGAGGGGGAGACUCUUCUGCAGUCCCCCCAUGACAUUCGGUCCCACGUUGAUGGUUUCUAUAGAUCCUUGUUCUCUGCCGCUCCUCGGAGCGGCCUUUCUCUCGCCCACGAUUGUUGG